AUGCCCUGUCAACGACCAUGUGGGUCAAGGUUUAUCGGAACGGACAUGUCUAUUAUCAAGAAUAUCAUCGCGGAAAACCGACCGCUGAUCUGAAAAUCAUCGGUGACUCUGACAAAACCGGAACAACAACUCAUUUUGAGCCGGAUCCGGAAAUUUUUACAGACACAACGACUUUUGAUUAUGACACGCUUCGCGUUCGUGUACGCGAGCUUGCCUUUCUCAACAAGAACAUACGAAUCUCAAUCGAAGACAGGCGCGCGGAGGACAAAAAAGAAACAUUCCACUAUGAAGGCGGUAUUCGUUCUUAUGUGGAAUUUUUGAAUCGUUCGAAGGAAGUGAUUCACCAGCCCAUUGAUCUGGAGGGUGAAAAAGACAGCAUUAAGGUUGAAAUCGCGAUGCAAUACAACAGCGGUUUUGCAAGUCAACUCUAUUCCUUUGCCAACAAUAUCCACACACAUGAAGGCGGCACGCACGAAUACGGCUUUAAGGUUGCCCUGACUCGCGUGAUUAAUGAUUAUGGACGCAAAAAUCAAUUUAUAAAGGGCAGCGAUUCCAAUUUGACUGGGGACGAUGUGCGCGAAGGUCUGACCGCGAUUGUAUCAGUCAAGCAUCCGGAUCCGCAAUUCGAGGGACAGACCAAAACCAAACUGGGCAAUUCUGAAGUACGAACGAUUACGGAUACACUUUUUUCAGAAGCAUUUUCGCGGUUUUUACUUGAAAAUCCUGAUGUCGCGCGGCUCAUUGUCGAAAAAGGUAUUGUAGCUUCACGAGCACGAUCGGCGGCAAAAAAAGCGCGUGAGUUGACACGGCGAAAGAGCAGCCUGGAAGUAUCUUCGCUCCCCGGCAAGCUUGCGGAUUGCUCAUCGAAAGACGCAAGUAUUUCGGAAUUAUACAUUGUCGAAGGCGAUUCAGCAGGAGGUUCGGCGAAACAAGGCAGGGACCGCCUGUUUCAAGCGAUUCUCCCGCUGCGCGGCAAAAUUCUUAAUGUUGAGAAGGCGCGUCUUGACAAAAUCUUAUCCAAUGCAGAAAUCCGAGCCAUGAUCACGGCGCUCGGCACAG
rnacentral:rRNA from 1 species